UCUCCUCCCGGUGUCGGGUGCCUCCUGGGCCCGCCCACGACGCACCGGGCCGGGCUGCGGAGCCGAAGCCGGCGGGGGCGAGCUCGGCGCCCGGAACCCGAGCCACCCCUUUCGCGCCAGACUUCUCUACCGAGUCGGCGACCCCUGAGCGCUUGGGCGGCUCGCUACAAUACCUUUUUCUUGUUUUGUUUUGAUUUCCACCAGUUCCGAGGGUUGCUAGUUACCCUUAUCGCUGGGUCGAUUUCGAAGGACAGGAUUUUUUACAAUUCAGACCAAAGCUUAAACAAGUAUAAGCUUUUUAGGUGUGACGUUUUUUCUUGGCGCACUUGUCAGUGACAACGGGGCCAGACGCCAGGAAUCUGCUCCACUGUGUUCCUGCAGGAGUUUCAAACUUGACUAACUCGGUCAUUAACUUUCGUCAGCGUACAAGGCGCACUUCUGGUUGCCGAUUCAUAGAGAGGCAGGCUCCGGAGCUGCCUUCCGAGGGCGCAGGCCGGCGCGGGCUCGACCCCUAGGCCCCUCGCUCCCUCUCCUGGAAAUGGACGUGGGGAAGGCAGAACACUUGAGGGCCAAGUUCGAUGUCUGUUCUCAAUCUGGCUAACUUCUAGAUCACCUCAUUUUGUUAUAGCAGUCGUGGCUCUCUUCAAUCCGGGAAGGCACUGCUGAAAUUACAUUAAUAAAUAACAGCAAAAAUAGUAAA